rnacentral:rRNA from 1 species
AAAUUGAAGAGUUUGAUCAUGGCUCAGAUUGAACGCUGGCGGCAGGCCUAACACAUGCAAGUCGAACGGUAACAGGAAGCAGCUUGCUGCUUUGCUGACGAGUGGCGGACGGGUGAGUAAUGUCUGGGAAACUGCCUGAUGGAGGGGGAUAACUACUGGAAACGGUAGCUAAUACCGCAUAACGUCGCAAGACCAAAGAGGGGGACCUUCGGGCCUCUUGCCAUCGGAUGUGCCCAGAUGGGAUUAGCUAGUAGGUGGGGUAACGGCUCACCUAGGCGACGAUCCCUAGCUGGUCUGAGAGGAUGACCAGCCACACUGGAACUGAGACACGGUCCAGACUCCUACGGGAGGCAGCAGUGGGGAAUAUUGCACAAUGGGCGCAAGCCUGAUGCAGCCAUGCCGCGUGUAUGAAGAAGGCCUUCGGGUUGUAAAGUACUUUCAGCGGGGAGGAAGGGAGUAAAGUUAAUACCUUUGCUCAUUGACGUUACCCGCAGAAGAAGCACCGGCUAACUCCGUGCCAGCAGCCGCGGUAAUACGGAGGGUGCAAGCGUUAAUCGGAAUUACUGGGCGUAAAGCGCACGCAGGCGGUUUGUUAAGUCAG